rnacentral:rRNA from 1 species
AUUCAUAAACAACCAGGAGGUUGGCUUAGAAGCAGCCAUACCUUUAAAGAGUGCGUAAUAGCUCACUGGUCGAGAGUCUCUGCGCCGACAAUGUAACGGGGCUAAGUUAUGAACCGAAGCUGUGGAAUUGCGCAAGCAAUUGGUAGGAGAGCGUUCUGUAGGCCGUUGAAGGAGAAGCGUAAGCAACUCUGGAGGUAUCAGAAGUGAGAAUGCAGGAAUAAGUAGCGAGAAGGGAGGCGAGAAUCCUCCCCGCCGGAAGACCAAGGUUUUCAGGGUAAAGCUUGUCUUCCCUGAGUAAGCCGGGACCUAAGCCGAGGCUAUAGUGCGUAGGCGAAUGGGAAACAGAUUAAUAUUUUUGUGCCAGUCAUAUUUUGUGAUGGAGGGACGCAGAAGGGUAUGUACGCGGAAGAACGGUAGUUUCCGUAAAAGCAUGUAG